UACGAGGGGGGCAAGCGUUGUUCGGAAUUAUUGGGCGUAAAGGGUGCGUAGGCGGUGCGGUAAGUCUGUUGUGAAAUCUCCGGGCUCAACUCGGAGUCUGCAUCAGAAACUGCCGUGCUGGAGUGUGGGAGAGGUGAGUGGAAUUCCCGGUGUAGCGGUGAAAUGCGUAGAGAUCGGGAGGAACACCUGCGGCGAAAGCGGCUCACUGGACCAUAACUGACGCUGAGACGCGAAAGCGUGGGGAGCAAACAGG
rnacentral:rRNA from 1 species